AGUGCGUUUCACUAAUUCAUGGAUUGGGAUAAAUGCAGAGACCAAAUUUCCCUCAUGGGAUCAAGAGUAUAUAUGGCCUACUUGUACUUACUUAUACCUAACAUGGACAC